UAAGGAAUCUUCCACAAUGGGCGAAAGCCUGAUGGAGCAAUGCCGCGUGCAGGAUGAAUGCCUUCGGGUUGUAAACUGCUUUUAUAUGCGAAGAAUAUGACGGUAACAUAUGAAUAAGGAUCGGCUAACUCCGUGCCAGCAGCCGCGGUCAGACGGAGGAUCCGAGCGUUAUCCGGAGUGACUGGGCGUAAAGAGUUGCGUAGGCGGUUUGUUAAGUAGAUAGUGAAAUCAAGCGGCUCAACCAUUUGGCUAUUAUCUAAACUGGCAAACUUGACAAUGAGAGAGGUAGCUGGAAUUCCUAGUGUAGGAGUGAAAUCCGUAGAUAUUAGGAGGAACACCAAUGGCGUAGGCAGGCUACUGGCUCAUUUGUGACGCUGAGGCACGAAAGCGUGGGGAGCGAACCGGAUUAGAUACCCGGGUAGUCCACGCCGUAAACGAUGGAUGCUAGCUGUAUGCCGUAUCGACCCGGUAUGUAGCGAAGCUAACGCGUUAAGCAUCCCGCCUGGGGAGUACGGUCGCAAGAUUAA
rnacentral:rRNA from 1 species